GGAAUCUUCCACAAUGGACGAAAGUCUGAUGGAGCAACGCCGCGUGAGGGAAGAAGGUUUUCGGAUCGUAAACCUCUGUCCUUGGUGAAGAGGAAGAGACGGUAGCCAAGGAGGAAGCCCCGGCUAACUACGUGCCAGCAGCCGCGGUAAUACGUAGGGGGCGAGCGUUGUCCGGAAUGAUUGGGCGUAAAGGGCGCGUAGGCGGCCCGGUAAGUCUGGAGUGAAAGUCCUGCUUUUAAGGUGGGAAUUGCUUUGGAUACUGUCGGGCUUGAGUGCAGGAGAGGUAAGUGGAAUUCCCAGUGUAGUGGUGAAAUGCGUAGAGAUUGGGAGGAACACCAGUGGCGAAGGCGACUUACUGGACUGUAACUGACGCUGAGGCGCGAAAGUGUGGGGAGCAAACA
rnacentral:rRNA from 1 species